GAUGAAAUCCCGGGAAGCCGCGCGCCCACUGAAAUAAAAUUUAAAGGGCUGCAGUAUAUUGACUGUACAAAGGUAGCAUAGUCAUUAGUCUUUUAAUUGAAGACUUGUAUGAAUGAUUUGAUGAAAUAUGAGCUGUCUCUUUAUUAAUAAUAGAAUUUAAUUUUUUAGUUAAAAAGCUAAAAUUUUUAUAAAAGACGAGAAGACCCUAUAGAGUUUAAUUUUUUAAUUUUUGUAGGUAUUUUAUAAAAUUUAUAAUUUAUAAAAAUUAAAAAAUUUUGUUGGGGUGAUAGAAAAAUUUAAUAAACUUUUUUUAAAAAAUUAACAUUAAUUUAUGAAUUUUUGAUCCAUAAAUUAUGAUUAUAAGAUUAAAUUACCUUAGGGAUAACAGCGUAAUUUUUUUUUUUAGUUCAAAUAAAAAAAAAAGUUUGCGACCUCGAUGUUGAAUUAAAAUAAAAUAUAAAUGCAAAAGUUUAAAAUUUUGAUCUGUUCGAUCAUUAAAAUCUU
rnacentral:rRNA from 1 species